rnacentral:tRNA from 1 species
AGUUAAUCAACCUGAAAUAAUAUGUUUUGAAAGCAUAUAAAAGAGGUUAAAAUCCUCUAUUAACUU